rnacentral:piRNA from 1 species
UCCUGCACUGCUUAUCUCAUCUACUGCUGA